UGGGGGAAUCUUCCGCAAUGGGCGCAAGCCUGACGGAGCAACGCCGCGUGAGUGAAGAAGGUUUUCGGAUCGUAAAGCUCUGUUGAGAGGGACGAGAGAUAUAAUCAGGAAAUGGGUUAUAGAGGACGGUACCUUUCGAGGAAGCCACGGCUAACUACGUGCCAGCAGCCGCGGUAAUACGUAGGUGGCGAGCGUUGUCCGGAAUUAUUGGGCGUAAAGGGAGCGCAGGUGGGAAAGUAAGUCAGUCUUAAAAGUUCGGGGCUCAACCCCGUCGA
rnacentral:rRNA from 1 species